GACGAGGGGUCCUAGCGUUGUUCGGAAUCACUGGGCGUAAAGCGUAUGUAGGCGGCUUUUCAAGUCAGGUGUGAAAUCCCAUGGCUUAACCAUGGAACUGCAUUUGAAACUGUAAAGCUUGAGUAUUGGAGAGGAUGGUAGAAUUCCUGGUGUAGUGGUGAAAUACGUAGAUAUCAGGAGGAAUACCGGUGGCGCAGGCGGCCAUCUGGCCAAAUACUGACGCUGAGAUACGAAAGUGUGGGGAUCAAACAGG
rnacentral:rRNA from 1 species